UACGUAGGCAGCAAGCGUUGUUCGGAGUUACUGGGCGUAAAGGGUGCGUAGGCGGCUGUUUAAGUUUGGUGUGAAAUCUCCCGGCUCAACCGGGAGGGUGCGCCGAAUACUGAGUGGCUAGAGUGCGGGAGAGGAAAGUGGAAUUCCUGGUGUAGCGGUGAAAUGCGUAGAUAUCAGGAGGAACACCGGUGGUGUAAACGGCUUUCUGGACCGUAACUGACGCUGAGGCACGAAAGCGUGGGUAGCAAACAGG
rnacentral:rRNA from 2 species